rnacentral:rRNA from 1 species
AACUCAAAGGAAUUGCCGGGGGCCCGCACAAGCGGUGGAGUAUGUGGUUUAAUUCGAUGCAACGCGAAGAACCUUACCUAGGUUUGACAUCCGGAAGACCUUCCCGAAAAGGAAGGGUGCCCUUCGGGGAAUUCCGAGACAGGUGCUGCAUGGCUGUCGUCAGCUCGUGCCGUGAGGUGUUGGGUUAAGUCCCGCAACGAGCGCAACCCUAUUGCCAGUUGCUACCAGGUAAUGCUGGGCACUCUGGUGAGACUGCCCCGGUUAACGGGGAGGAAGGUGGGGACGACGUCAAGUCAUCAUGGCCCUUACGCCUAGGGCUACACACGUACUACAAUGGCGCAUACAAAGGGCAGCGAUACCGCGAGGUGGAGCCAAUCCCAAAAAGUGCGUCCCAGUCCGGAUUGCAGUCUGCAACUCGACUGCAUGAAGUUGGAAUCGCUAGUAAUUCGAGAUCAGCAUGCUCGGGUGAAUGCGUUCCCGGGCCUU